rnacentral:rRNA from 1 species
CACGCGACCACCGCUCCUCGUCUCGCGCCACUACCCGCCCUCGCCCCGGCCCCGGUGCCGGCAGAAGCCGUCCCGCCCACCAGGUCCGAGAACCCGCUGCGGUAUGACCUCGAUGCCAAGUGGGACGCCUGCCUCGACCUCUCCAUCCGCCACGUUGCCUACUCCUCCCUCGUCGACGCCUUCGGAGGCCUCAUCCUCUUCUGUAGCCCAACAACCCGCUGGGCAUCAGUUGCACUUGGAGCUGGUGUGGUGAUAGGGGCUGCGUUCACCAAAUGCUCAUACAUAUUCAAUGGUUCUCCUCCAAAGUGUGGAAAGGAAAGCAUUUCUCUUCUCCCCCUUACCCUCUGUUCGUCUCCUUCCUCCGAUUGCUUGCUGCACCACAGCAAGUAA